AGCCUUUAUUUCACUUCAUUCCACUCCUCAUCACCCAAGUCUGGAAAGGCGCCCAGAAAAUGACACGCGGCCCGUGUCAGCAGCAUUCCCGGGUGGAAACCGACACCGAUACGGAUUCCGAUGCCGAAACUAUGCGGUGCAUAUCGUGCAAAGAGGAAUACGGGACGAUUGACGCCGGAACAUGCAAGGAGUGCUACGAGGAGGCUAGCGAGACCGAAGAAGAGCUCAAGAGAGAGAUCGAAGAUCUCAAAGCCAAAGUUGCCUUCUUGCGAUUCUGGUCUCCGCUGGAUCACCACCACAGCAAUAGGUCCUCUGGACCCUGUUUCACUGACGUCGUUUUGGUCGCCUCCUCCGAUAGUGGACCAACUGGGUCUCCCUUGUCUGUCCCUGCCCAUAAGGCUGUUUUGGUUAGUACCCAUAUCCCCAAUUUGGAUGACUAGCGUUAUCUGGAUAGCUUGUUUGUGGGCGCGUUUGGUAUUUAUUUAUUUUUCUUUCAGCGGGUUUUGAUUGGUUUUCAGAAUUGCUUUGAUUGCAAUGCAUAAGGUCGUCUAAUCAAAUGGUUUUAUGUGUUCUAGAUCAAGACAGAGAUUAGGGAGCUGAAGAAUUAUAAUUAUAGAUGUGUCAUUAACAGAUUUAUAGUUGGAUAAUGGAAGCUGUAAGUCUUCUGUCAUGUUUGAGCAGACCACUGCAAAAAGUUACUAGCAAGCUUACAGUCAAGAUUCUAUAAUGGUCACACAAUAAUACUCAAGAAAGAAAGUUAAUUUAUCAAGUAAUUGGACAUUUUUUUUGUCUUUAUGCCAUGUUCCAAGCUCCAACAUAAGUGACUUAGUGGGCAGGAGUGAGAAUAUUCGAGCAUGCAGGUUCUGAUUGUAUUUGCAUACUUCUUCUUGUAAUGUUUAAGUUGGUAUGUCUGGUAACAUCUUACCAUUAUUUGGUAUCAUAAAGAGCCAAUUCCUUCGUUCUGAAGACUUUACUGAAUUGUGCGCUUCGCACAUCCCAUAGCAGUGAUGAAUAUUAAAUUCUACACUAGAUUGGCCGGCCCUGUCAUUCAUUAUGCUAUUAACAAUAUUUUUUUUUUUUUUUGAAUGCUAACUACAAAUGUAUCAUUUAUGCAUGCUAGUUUACCACUUUGUAUGAGGAUAUUCAAUGCCAAGUUCCACUAGAGUCGCAUUUUAAUUUUGAAUUUGCAGCUUCUUUUAGUUGACAUUGCCUACUUAUAGAAGAAAUCAAUGUAUUCGCACAUGCAUGUGUAUGAGAAUAUGCUUGUUUUCACUUAAAUAAAAUAUGUCAUAAGGUUCUUAACGUGUCUCAUUUCCUGCUAGCAGUUUUCAACCUUUCUAUAACCAUUGACUUUUCUAUUCUACUUUUAUCCUUGUUCUUGAUCCAUCCCUUGUUUCAUUUAAAUUUACUUUAAUUAACUUAGAUAUGGUUAACUUUUCAUCUAAUAAAUGUAGGAGUUCACUUUUUAUUAGCUUGGGCAUUUGAUCAUGUUGAAUUGCAUUGUUAUUUAUUAGUGUGUACUUGACAGAACAUCAAGUUGCAGACAACUAGGCAAGAGAAAAUAUGGAUAUGUGAUUUGAGGGAUUAGGAAUUUGAUACCUGGCAUGCAUAUGGAUUCAAUGAUGCAAUUUAGGGACACAAUAUCCCUUUUUUUUUUAAUAAAAACUACAAUUUUUUUUUUCCUAUAGUAGUGCAUGUAGAGGUGGGGAGCAUAUAAACCAUAGGGGAAAAGUUUUGCUUUUUGCCUUGAUUGGAUAUGGUCUGAACAACACAAUAGAUAAUGUUGGGAAAUUUUAUCAUGUUUUGGGAUUGCUUUGUACAUUUAUGUGUUCAGGCGAGUCGUUCUCCAGUGUUUAAAGCAAUGCUUGAGAAUGAGAUGGAAGAAAGCCGUAGUGGCACCAUCAAGAUUAGUGAUGUAUCAUAUGUUGCCCUUCGCACCUUUGUCAACUAUUUAUACACUGCUGAAGCAUGCCUCGAUGAGCAAAUGGCCUGUGACCUUUUAGUGUUGGCUGAAAAAUAUGAGGUGAAGCAUCUCAAGGCUUAUUGUGAGAAUUUUUUGGUGUCCAAAUUGAACUGGGACAAUUCAGUCCCAAGCUAUGCCUUUGCACACCAGCACAAUGCUAAGCAUAUGCUUGAAGCAGCAUUAUCAUUGAUCACAGACAACAUGGACAAGCUUACUAAAAGGGAGGAGUACAUGGAGCUUGUGGAGAGGGAUCCUCGGCUUGUAGUGGAGAUUUAUGAGGCUUAUCUCUCCAAACAAGUUAAUACGGCAGCACAAAGGAUUCUUCCAUGAAGCCAUCUGCAGGUAUGGUUCUGUUGGUAUAUUUCUCUGAAUGCUGAAACUUUGCAGUGCAUUUGUUGGAAAGUGUCAAGGUGGCUGUUCUGGCAUGAGCAGCUAUGCACAGUCAGGACAGAAUUAUAGUUAUUGAAAUUGUGUAAUGGCUCAAUGGAAUUUAAGUUCAAAGCUAUGGCAUUUUCUUCUUUCUUUUCCUUUUCAUCUUUCCAUUCUUCCUAAUGAUCUAAUUCGAAAUGACAGUUGUGCUUUAUCAAUUCCCAUCUGAAUUUCCAAGAAUCCAUCGGAAUUCUAAAACAUUUGCAAGCAUCAUUCUUUUUAGCAAGUGCACUUCAAGUCCUGAGCUAAAAAAAGAAUCGAGUACCUGGAGUGAGUGGGAUGUUAAAAUAUGGAUAUGAUCGUCUAUCCUUUGCCAAGAGACGAAAAUUUUUAAAGCUUGGAGGUUAAGAUACUAUUCUCCUACAGUCCUGGAAGAAAAACAAAGGUUUUAAGCUUGGAGUCACUAAAAAUAUUCAGGCUGCUGGAUUCUCUGAUAGAAAGUAUUACAUAUUUACAUUCAACUGCUCAGAUAUCGGUUAAAAUUUGCAACCUUGCAAAUACUUGCAUUCUUUCUGAAGAAAGAUGUGAGAACAAAACAAUAAAGGUGGAAAACAAAAUCUGCUCUGUUCUCUGAUACUCAAAGCGAAGAGACUAUUCAUUUGUGAGGGCAAAA
rnacentral:misc_RNA from 1 species